rnacentral:rRNA from 1 species
UGGCGGACGGGUGAGUAAUGUCUGGGAAACUGCCUGAUGGAGGGGGAUAACUACUGGAAACGGUAGCUAACACCGCAUAACGUCGCAAGACCAAAGAGGGGGACCUUCGGGCCUCUUGCCAUCGGAUGUGCCCAGAUGGGAUUAGCUAGUAGGUGGGGUAACGGCUCACCUAGGCGACGAUCCCUAGCUGGUCUGAGAGGAUGACCAGCCACACUGGAACUGAGACACGGUCCAG